rnacentral:rRNA from 1 species
UAGGGAAUCUUCCACAAUGGACGCAAGUCUGAUGGAGCAACGCCGCGUGAGUGAAGAAGGCUUUCGGGUCGUAAAACUCUGUUGUUGGAGAAGAAUGGUCGGCAGAGUAACUGUGUCGGCGUGACGGUAUCCAACCAGAAAGCCACGGCUAACUACGUGCCAGCAGCCGCGGUAAUACGUAGGUGGCAAGCGUUAUCCGGAUUUAUUGGGCGUAAAGCGAGCGCAGGCGGUUUUUUAAGUCUGAUGUGAAAGCCCUCGGCUUAACCGAGGAAGCGCAUCGGAAACUGGGAAACUUGAGUGCAGAAGAGGACAGUGGAACUCCAUGUGUAGCGGUGAAAUGCGUAGAUAUAUGGAAGAACACCAGUGGCGAAGGCGGCUGUCUGGUCUGUAACUGACGCUGAGGCUCGAAAGCAUGGGUAGCGAACAGGAUUAGAUACCCUGGUAGUCCAUGCCGUAAACGAUGAAUGCUAGGUGUUGGAGGGUUUCCGCCCUUCAGUGCCGCAGCUAACGCAUUAAGCAUUCCGCCUGGGGAGUACGACCGCAAGGUUG